rnacentral:lncRNA from 1 species
CAUGCAUGGUAAGUAUUAAAUUUAAUAACACGUUUGACUAUUUUAAUUAUAGAAUGAUUAUAUUUUAGAAAGAACAAAUUUUGGAAAGAAUUUUAUGAAUGGAAACUUAUAAGAAUAAUUACGUGGAAGAUUAUGUAAACUAAUGCGCACGAUUGAAUUCAGAUUAAAUUAAGUGCGUGUUUUCUUGCAUUGGUUGUAAUUUUUUACAGUGCAGGCUUUGAAAAAAAUACAUCAGAUUUGGCAUAUAAUGAUUUCAAUGGUUGCAUUUAUGAUGUAUUUCACUCAAGAAGAAACGGGAUGCUUGGAUGAAUAAACGGAAAUGGAAAAGUACGAGUUGACAGAGGAUUGAUCCAAUUAAUAAAUUUAGACUAAGAAUUAUAAACCACACUAAUAGCUUCUGAUUUGGAUGGUAAAAAAGUGUUCUUUUAUGUUCAGACCAUUCGUCUCUAAACUGAUGACAUAUCUGCUUGGUGUUCUUUUAUGUUCAGACCAUUCAUCUCUAAACUGAUGACAUAUCUGCUUGCAUUUCAAAAUUAUUUUUAUUAUGGAACUUACGGGUCAUUUGAAAUUCGAGCUUGAAAAUAUAAAAAAAGAAUUCUACUGUAAUAGGCAGGAAUUGCGUUUUACUAUUAUUGCGACUGCAUGUAAAGCUAGG